UUAUAAAUUGCAUACCUCAGGUUGAUAAGAUUGAAGAUAGUGGUGUCUUCAUGCUGAAGACAAUCGAAUGUUUGGCUAUGAGCAUAACAACACAUGGCAAUCUUAAAAAUGAGUCAAUUGGUGAUUUACGGAAGAAAAUGGCGGUUGAUAUCUUUGCAGAAUUACAAAAUGACUAGGAUAAUGGAAGUUUGCAUCUUGCUGGUAUAUGAACGUGAUCGCAGGAAUGGUGCUUUAGAUUAUUGCAUCAAGAACAAUAUUUUUGCAUCAAG